rnacentral:rRNA from 1 species
UUUUUGGUGGGGGUGCUCGAGUGGCGAACGGGUGAGUAACACGUGGGUGAUCUGCCCUGUACUUCGGGAUAAGCUUGGGAAACUGGGUCUAAUACCGGAUAGGACCAUGGUUUAGUGUCUCAUGGUGGAAAAAUUAUUGUUUUGGUGCAGGAUGAGCUCGCGGCCUAUCAGCUUGUUGGUGGGGUAAUGGCCUACCAAGGCGUCGACGGGUAGCCGGCCUGAGAGGGUGGACGGCCACAUUGGGACUGAGAUACGGCCCAGACUCCUACGGGAGGCAGCAGUGGGGAAUAUUGCACAAUGGGCGCAAGCCUGAUGCAGCGACGCCGCGUGAGGGAUGGAGGCCUUCGGGUUGUGAACCUCUUUCUCCGGUGGUGAAGGCCCUGUCCUUGGUGGUGGGGUUGACGGUAGCCGGGUAUGAAGCGCCGGCUAACUACGUGCCAGCAGCCGCGGUAAUACGUAGGGCGCGAGCGUUGUCCGGAAUUAUUGGGCGUAAAGAGCUCGUAGGCGGCUGGUCGCGUCUGUCGUGAAAUCCUCUGGCUUAACUGGGGGCUUGCGGUGGGUACGGGCCGGCUUGAGUGCGGUAGGGGAGGCUGGAACUCCUGGUGUAGCGGUGGAAUGCGCAGAUAUCAGGAGGAACACCGGUGGCGAAGGCGGGUCUCUGGGCCGUUACUGACGCUGAGGAGCGAAAGCGUGGGGAGCGAACAGGAUUAGAUACCCUGGUAGUCCACGCCGUAAACGUUGGGCACUAGGUGUGGGGGGCCUUUUCCGGGUUUUCCGCGCCGUAGCUAACGCAUUAAGUGCCCCGCCUGGGGAGUACGGCCGCAAGGCUAAAACUCAAAGGAAUUGACGGGGGCCCGCACAAGCGGCGGAGCAUGUGGAUUAAUUCGAUGCAACGCGAAGAACCUUACCUGGGUUUGACAUGCACCAGACGGUUGUAGAGAUACGUACCUCCCUUUGUGGUUGGUGUGCAGGUGGUGCAUGGUUGUCGUCAGCUCGUGUCGUGAGAUGUUGGGUUAAGUCCCGCAACGAGCGCAACC